AUGGCGACCGUGAACCCCUUCGACCUCCUCGGCGACGACGAGGGCGACGACCCCACGCAGCUCCUGGCCAAGGCGGCCGCCCUGGCGCAGAAGGCCGAGGCCAAGAAGGCCGCCGCGCCGGCCGCCGCCGGGAAGGGCGGCGCGAAGACAGUCGCCAAUCUGCCCACCAAGCCGCCUCCUCCUGGUCAGGCUGCUAAUGAGUCUCGUGGUGGUGGUCCACCCUCCCGUGGAGGAUAUGGGCGCGGUGAACGUGGCUCAGGCAGAGGUGGACGAGGAGGGUAUGGUCAGAAUCGCGACUACGGCAGUGAAGACACAAAUGGCUACAGGGGAGGUUAUGGUGCCAGAACUGGAGGUGAGGAAGGCGCCCAGGAUAGAGAGAGGGCCCCUAGGCAACCCUACCAGGGGGGUGGCCGUCGUGGUGGGUAUCGUGAUGGUGAGUUUGGUGAUGAUUCUGAGAGGCCACCUCGAAGGAACUAUGAGCGCCAAAGCGGCACAGGCCGUGGGUAUGAGAUAAAACGCGAGGGUGCUGGCCGUGGGAACUGGGGAACUACCUCUGAUGAAAUUGUUGCCCAGGAAACUGAGGCCCUGAAGCAGGAUGAGAAGGCCCCUGCACCUGAGAAGCAGGGCGCACCGGAGGAUGCACCACAGGCAGAUGAGAACAAGGCCACCAAAGAUGGCGCUGCAGUUGUGGAGGAAGAAAAGGAAGAGGAUAAUGAGAUGACUCUUGAUGAAUUUGAGAAAGUAAUGGAGGAGAAGAGGAAAGCACUUGCUGCUUUGAAGAAGUCUGAAGAGAGGAAGGUUGAAAUCGAUAAGGAUCUGCAGGCUAUGCAACUACUUUCCACCAAGAAAGGAAAUGAUGAAGUUUUCAUCAAACUGGGUGCUGAUAAGGAGGCUUUGAAGAAGAAAGAGAAUGCUGAACGUGAAGAGCGUGCUAAGAAGUCUGUGAGCAUCAAUGAGUUCCUGAAGCCUGCUGAAGGAGAAAGGUUCUAUGGAGGCCGUGGCCGUGGCGGCAGGGGCCGUGGAGACCGCGGAGGCUUCAGAGGUGGAUUUGGUGGUGGGGGUUAUCACGGCCCACCGCCUGCCCCGGCAAUUCAGGACCAGAACCAGUUCCCAACCCUCGGUGGGAAGUGA
rnacentral:rRNA from 1 species